CGCCGAGGGAGUGGGGCCGGCAGGGCGCGGGGAAGGGAGACAGCGGCGCGCUCCUUUUGUCUUCCUCCCCCAGCCCCCAAGUUCGGGAAAGUUUUCCUUUUGGGAAAGCCCCUCUCACGCCUGCCUGCUGGCAGGUGCCGGAUUGGUCAAACAAGGAGGAUUCCUCUGUGGGCCGAGUCUUCUCGGAGUCGCCAAACCUCCAGAUGGUGGAGUGGGGGCGAGGAGGUGUUGGGAACGGGGUCUGGCUCCCCUGGAGGGAGGAGUGGAUGAUAAACCUGUCAUACCGGAAUGACUUCAAGUGUUUACUCCCGUUAUUUGGGAUCUGCUUCUCUCCCUCUUCUUCUUUCUGUAGGUAUGUCUGUAGAGAAAUUGAAAAAUCACCUUGGGAGUCCAUGCCUCUAACUCCAGAUGGUGCACUUCCAGUGUCUGAAUUCUACUCCUCCAUGUGUUCCUGGCACCUCACCUGAUGUCUGGGCCCCUGUGGCCACUUGAUACAGGAUCUCCGGGAAUUCACUGAAAGGAAGAGAGGACUGGAGAACCAGGCUUAGGAAAGAAAAGGCAGCCCCGGAAGUUCUCAGUGGCGGAGGUCUGCAGGACAGUGUUGCAACACGACCAUUGCUGGUAAGAAUGACUCUCUCUCUUUCCUCUUUCCACUUUCACUCUGAUCAAGACUCAGUGUCCUGGGAGAACAGGGCCAAAUUCAGGCUAGGCCAGGGGCUUGCUCCUUAGCUGUACUGGAAUCGUGAGUGGGAGAAAUUGAAGGAAAAAAGCCUUCAGGGGUUUCCUGGGUUUCUAGCAGACACUAGGGUGUAUCAAGGCAGUUGAGGAACUCUCAAGAAAUGAAUGGAUCUUGAUGAGUUAAAACUAUGAUAAAUAUUAGCACUUAUACUUACUUGUUAACACAGACUUGCUAUCAAAUUCCAGCACUGCCAGUGACUAAUUGGAUGGUCUUAUACAAAUUUUCUAACCUCUGUAGGUGCUAUUUUUUCCUCACCUACAAAAUGGGGAUACUAAUACAUGGUGGUUUUAAGGAUUAAAUUAAAUAAGGUGCGUCAUAUGAAAGGUGCUUAUUACAGUGUUUCAUAGUAGCUACUCAAUAAAUAAUAGCUCUUAUUGAUUGAUCUAUGUGCACACACCAUGAGGCUAUUCUAUGUAUAUGGAGCAAAAAAGCAGCAAUUAUUAUUGCUGCUCUUGAACAGCUUGCAGUUUAAUUAGAAAAAAGAACACAUAUGAUUUAACUUAACCUUCACAAGUACCCUAGAAUUCGGCAGAGAUAUUUUUAUCAUCUCAGUUUUUCAUAUGAACAAUCAGAGAUUCAGAGAAGUUUAGCAACUUGACAGUAGUCACACAGCUCUUAAGUGGCAGAGCUGAACCUUGAGUUGAGGUUUAUUGGGUCCAAUGCUCUUUACAUUCGUAGAAAUGGGUGUAGCUCAGUGAAGGGUAUUGUAACUUAACUCAUUUAAAUUCCAAUCAGCAAACUUUAUCGAAUAUCUGCUAUAACAGAUCAAUAUGCUAGGUGCUAUGAGGAAAUAUGAAUAUAAUUAAUACAUAGACCCUGAUUUCAAGAAAGUUACAGUCUAGGGAAAAAGAUGGACACAUACGCCACUUAUGGAAAUACAAGAUAAUACAUGAUAAAUGCUGUGGUUUUCAUUUCUUAUGGAAUGUGUCAGGCUCUUUAUUAGGUGCUGAGGAUUUGGUGAUGAACAGAGCCAUAAGCAACCUGUCCUCAAGGGGCUUACAUGUUGUUAGAAGGUGACAUAGAAGAACAUAAAGGAAAUAUACACAUAAACUAGUUUUAGAUAUCCAUAGUGAUGGGCUAGAAAGAAAAUGAAGAGAGUUUUGUGAUAAUGAAUUGGUGCUGAGUACUUUCUUUUUUAAAUUUUUUUUUCUUUUUUUAGAGACAGGGUCUCACUCUGUUACCCAGGCUGGAAUGCAGUGGUGCAAUCAUAGCUCACUGCAAUCUCCAACUCCCAGGCUCAAGCAAUUCUCCUGCCUCUGCCUCCCGAGCAGCUGGGACUACAAGCAUGUGCCACCAUGCACACCUAAUUUUUUAAUUUUUUGUAAAGAUGGCAUCUCACUAUGUUACCCAGACUGGUCUUGGACUCCUGGCCUCAAGUGAUUAUCCCGCUUCAGAGUCCCAAAAUGUUGGGAUUACAGGCAUGAGCCACCAUACCUGGCCAGUGUUGGCUACUUUUAAUGGAGUGCUCUUCUGUAGACCUAAAGAAGUCAAGCAUGUGAAGUUAUGUGGGAAGUGUAUUCUAGGCAGAGGGAGCAGUAGUACAAAGACCAUGAGGUGGGGAUGAACUUGGAGUUUUGCAGAACAAAAAUGAGACUGUGUGACAGGAACAUAGAGAGUAGGGAGAACAGUGGUACACAUGAGAUCUAGAGAUGUAGGUAGGAACCAAAAAAAAAAAAAUGCAGAUCCUUGUACACCACACUUAGAAGUGGUUAAUCUAUUAUUCUGAGUUUAGUGGAAGCCCAUAAAAUUUAAGCAGGGAAAUGAUAUUAUUUGAUGUGUUUUAUGAGAAAGACCACACUCCCUGCUAUGAAGAAAUUUAAUGUUCACCUGGGGCAUUUAAGAAGAGAAAGAGUAAUACUACUUUGAAAAAGCAGAGAGAGCAGGCACCUGGAGUCCCAACUACUCAGCUACUUGGGAGGCUGAGGUGGGAGAAUUACCAAACUAUUACCUGAGCAUGAGUCUAGGAGUUUGAGACUUUAGUGUGCUGUGUUCACGCUUGUGAGUAGCCAUGAUACUCCAGCCUGGGCAACAAUUAGACCCCCGUCUCUAAGAGAGAAGUUAGUGGAGGCAUUGAGAAGGAGGGAGUGCUCUGACUAAUGGGAUGGGUGGGUCAGGUAUUCCAGGAAUAGGAGACACCAUUAGCGAAGAAACAGAAUUAGGAAGCAUGAAGUGUGUUUGCACAACAGUGAAUUUUCCGGUGUGGCUGGAGCAUCCAAUGUGAGGGGAGGAUGUAAUGAAAUGGAACCAGGGAAGAAAGUGGGUUCCGGGCUAUGUCUUGACAACAUUCUGUAGGCAGCUGGAAACUGUUCUGUAUUUUAGCAAGAUGAUGCUGGUGACUGCAUGAAGGAUAUUAGUGUAGGCAAGAAUACCUUUGGUGAGGUGCAUGCACUAGGUCACGUGAGAGAUGGUGAGGGCUGGGUAGUGAGAAUGGGAGGAAGGAGACAGAGACAAGAGCUACUGACAUGAGGAGCUGACAGUACUUGGUGGUGAACUGGGUCUCAGAGGUGAAGGGGAGGGAGACUCUGAAGACAUCUACAAUUCAAGUUAGGGGUGCCCUUUUCUGCAAGAGGAAGGUUGGAGGAUAGGGUGGAGAUUUCAGUUUUGAACGAGUCGAAUGCGAGGUUUUGGCAGGACUUCCACAUGAUGAUGAUGAUGCCGGAGAGACAGCUGGAAAGGCAGAGUUAGAGCUUAGGAAGUUUGGCCUUUAAGAGCACACCUAUCCCAACUAAUUUCUUAUAAUCUGUGAAAAAAUUUGUGAAUUUUAAGAUAUUUGCUAUUUUCAAGAAGACAUAAGUUUCACAAGUGUUUGUCAGAACCAACUGGCAUUUUCUACCGAAAGGAAAGGUUUUCUUCUUCGAAAAACAGAAUGUUCAGUAAAGGGAAAGCUGCUUGAUGGUUUCGACUUCCUUUUCUUGCUUUGGAAGCCGAGUUAUCAGACUUGUUCAAGCCUGAGGAAGAACAUUAGAGAAGAUUAUAGCACAGUCUUAGUGUUAUAAAAGGAAAAAAGGUCUUGUUCAAAUAAUAAAAUAAUGGAGAGAUGGAUGGUCUCUCAUGUCCCUUCAGGGGGUAAUAGGAGGGAAUAGAAGAAAGCAAAAUUUUUCAAGGAAUUUAUGUUUGAUUAUUUUGAUAGCUCUAGAAAAAGUAUCAGGCACAAAAGACUAGUUCUGGGGGGUGAUAUAAAUUGCUAGAUGAUAAAAAAAGAUGUCAAUAAGAGAUAAAGGAACUCUUUGUGAGAAAGGGACUCUGGAAAUAAACGGCUCUUUGCAGUGCCAAGUUGAACAAACUACGAAACAAAAUGGAAGGUUUGUGUUCAAUGCUAGUCACAACAAGGGUAGGAGCCUUAUUCUCUCCAUUUCUUUGCCUUGUCAUUAUUAUUAUUAUUAGAAAGUUAUUAUAACUUUCUUAACAGUUGCAUUUUUUCACUCAUGGAACAGGUAAUAGUAUUUUUUGCUGAUGCUAAUUUGAAGGUAUGGAGCCAGUGGUGGGGAGUCACCUAAUUUACCAACAAAGGUCAUUUUUAAUUGCUAUCUCCAGUGUCUCAGGACUACAUCGUUGCUUAUCCAACAUGACUCAGCCUUGGUGUUGGCACUGACUCAUGGAGCUCCUGACAGAGGAGAAUUAGUGUCACAGAUUGACUGGGAAACCAAUUCACAUGAAGCCAAGAAGAGAAAUGGGGCUGCUGUUGCUGAAUCCGCAGCCGACCUUAAUGAUGCAGGCGAGGAAAAACGCCCAUUCUGAGGGAGAUCAGUUAAUUUUGCACUGUGUUUGAUGUUGCUAUUAUUGUAGUGACUAUUGCCUUUCUGUUUUAUAUUUAUUCAUCUAAAUUGUUUUGGAAGGACUCAGAGGUCUAGAGACAUGCAUACUCUUUGCAAAAAAGCAUCAUAUUGUAGUGGAGGUAGUCCAGACUAUAGGAAUCUUAUUUGCCGUGUCUUGGGCAAGUUGCUUGACCUCUGAUCAUUGUUUCUUUUAUCUAUCAUUAUAUUGCCUCUGUAUUUCAGACUCACUCUGUAUCAGGCACUUAUUUACUCUUAUAGCAAGCUCAGGAGGAAAAUACAAUUGCCUUUGUUUUACAAGUGAAGGAACUGUAAAUUUUCCAAGGACACAUUGCUACUAAAUAAUAAAUGUGAAAUUUUAACUGUUUCCAUUUCUUCCCAGAGCCAGUGCUCUUUAACUACACUCCUGCACUUCUGCUCAUCUGUAAAAUAUGGAUGAUAAUAAACACCUGUC
ensembl:lincRNA